rnacentral:rRNA from 1 species
GAUGAACGCUGGCGGCGUGCCUAAUACAUGCAAGUCGAGCGAACGGACGAGAAGCUUGCUUCUCUGAUGUUAGCGGCGGACGGGUGAGUAACACGUGGAUAACCUACCUAUAAGACUGGGAUAACUUCGGGAAACCGGAGCUAAUACCGGAUAAUAUUUUGAACCGCAUGGUUCAAAAGUGAAAGACGGUCUUGCUGUCACUUAUAGAUGGAUCCGCGCUGCAUUAGCUAGUUGGUAAGGUAACGGCUUACCAAGGCAACGAUGCAUAGCCGACCUGAGAGGGUGAUCGGCCACACUGGAACUGAGACACGGUCCAGACUCCUACGGGAGGCAGCAGUAGGGAAUCUUCCGCAAUGGGCGAAAGCCUGACGGAGCAACGCCGCGUGAGUGAUGAAGGUCUUCGGAUCGUAAAACUCUGUUAUUAGGGAAGAACAUAUGUGUAAGUAACUGUGCACAUCUUGACGGUACCUAAUCAGAAAGCCACGGCUAACUACGUGCCAGCAGCCGCGGUAAUACGUAGGUGGCAAGCGUUAUCCGGAAUUAUUGGGCGUAAAGCGCGCGUAGGCGGUUUUUUAAGUCUGAUGUGAAAGCCCACGGCUCAACCGUGGAGGGUCAUUGGAAACUGGAAAACUUGAGUGCAGAAGAGGAAAGUGGAAUUCCAUGUGUAGCGGUGAAAUGCGCAGAGAUAUGGAGGAACACCAGUGGCGAAGGCGACUUUCUGGUCUGCAACUGACGCUGAUGUGCGAAAGCGUGGGGAUCAAACAGGAUUAGAUACCCUGGUAGUCCACGCCGUAAACGAUGAGUGCUAAGUGUUAGGGGGUUUCCGCCCCUUAGUGCUGCAGCUAACGCAUUAAGCACUCCGCCUGGGGAGUACGACCGCAAGGUUGAAACUCAAAGGAAUUGACGGGGACCCGCACAAGCGGUGGAGCAUGUGGUUUAAUUCGAAGCAACGCGAAGAACCUUACCAAAUCUUGACAUCCUUUGACAACUCUAGAGAUAGAGCCUUCCCCUUCGGGGGACAAAGUGACAGGUGGUGCAUGGUUGUCGUCAGCUCGUGUCGUGAGAUGUUGGGUUAAGUCCCGCAACGAGCGCAACCCUUAAGCUUAGUUGCCAUCAUUAAGUUGGGCACUCUAAGUUGACUGCCGGUGACAAACCGGAGGAAGGUGGGGAUGACGUCAAAUCACCAUGCCCCUUAUGAUUUGGGCUACACACGUGCUACAAUGGACAAUACAAAGGGCAGCGAAACCGCGAGGUCAAGCAAAUCCCAUAAAGUUGUUCUCAGUUCGGAUUGUAGUCUGCAACUCGACUACAUGAAGCUGGAAUCGCUAGUAAUCGUAGAUCAGCAUGCUACGGUGAAUACGUUCCCGGGUCU